AGUGCCUGUGAUUGCUGCUGUGAUUCCUGCAGUAGUUUUUCUCUUUGCUGUUGUCCUUCUUGGGGUGAUUUGUAUAAAAAGAUCAGGUAGAAGACAAGCUGAUGUUCAUCUGGUCCCAGAUAAGAAUGACAAAAAAGAAUGCAAUGACACAAUCAUCAUUUCUAAUAUUCCUGAGCAGAAAGAUGAUGUGAUUUAUUCAGAGGUGAUCAUUUCUUGUGAAGAACAGAAGAAUAACAAUGUUCAUUCUGCUGAUAAUGUGACUUAUGCUGCCAUCAGAGGAGAAGUUGAAGUCCAGAAAAACUGCACAGAGAUUUAUGCCUCUGUUAACAAAACAUCUCACAAAUAAAUCACACAAACAGAUACAAACAGCAGAAUUUACAAUAUUACAAGCAAAUGAAAGUGAACCUUUAAACAAAUAGCGAUUCAGUCAAUGGCAUUGUAUGUUGUUACUUGUUAACCAACUAAAGUGGUGAUUUGAUAUUUACAUUUAUUACAUUUUUGUUUAGCUUUAGAUGUUUGUCUGCUUGUUAAUGUUUUAAUGUUAUUGUCCUUAUUACUUAUUGAAAAGCAACAAAUUAUAGUCAUAAUAAAAUGAUGGCCUUUAUGCUGCACAGAGUUGUAGGAAAUAUUCAGCAGCUUAAGCAGCGGCUCAGAUUUAGUUGAUUUGUAGCUGUGACACAUUUGUACUAAUCAUUGACUUUUAAUAAUGCUCAUAAUCUCAAAUUUUGGUGGUAAUAUUUUGAUGAUGACAAAAUCAAAUGUGAAUGGCUCUAUGAAUUUAUUUCUGUUUGUAUGUAGA